rnacentral:pre_miRNA from 1 species
GUGUGUAUGUGUGUGUGUGUUGUUCAGCACCAAGGACAGGUAUGUUUGUGUGUGGAUGGUGUUCAGCACCAAGGACAUGUGUGUUCGUGU